rnacentral:rRNA from 1 species
UACGUAGGGUGCGAGCGUUGUCCGGAAUUAUUGGGCGUAAAGAGCUCGUAGGCGGUGUGUCGCGUCGGUCGUGAAAACUUGGGGCUUAACCCUGAGCUUGCGGUCGAUACGGGCAUCACUGGAGUUCGGCAGGGGAGACUGGAAUUCCUGGUGUAGCGGUGAAAUGCGCAGAUAUCAGGAGGAAUACCGGUGGCGAAGGCGGCAUCCUGGACCGGCAUUGACGCUGAGUGAGCGAAAGCCAGGGGAGCAAACGGG